CCCUUAGACGUUCUGGGCCGCACGCGCGCUACACUGGUCGAUGCAACGAGUUUCUUUCCUUGGCCGACAGGCCUGGGCAAUCUUUGAACAUCGAUCGUGAUCGGGAUAGAUUCUUGUAAUUUUUGAUCUUAAACGAGGAAUUCCUAGUAAACGCAAGUCAUCAGCUUGCAUUGAUUACGUCCCUGCCCUUUGUACACACCGCCCGUCGCACCUACCGAUUGAAUGGUCCGGUGAAAUCUCCGGACUGGCGUGAGUCGGAGCAAUCUGACAAACGCCGGAAAGUUGAUUAAACCUUACCAUUUAGAGGAAGGUGAANUCGUAACA
rnacentral:rRNA from 1 species